rnacentral:ncRNA from 2 species
CUAACAUCUAUGCGAGUGUUUGGGUGGUAAACCCAUACGCGGAAUGAAAGUGAACGUAGGUGAGAACCCCUUUGGGGCGCAUCAUCGACCGAUCCUGAUGUCUUCGGAUGGAUUUGAGUAAGAGCAUAGCUGUUGG